CCUCCACCAUGGUGUUGAUCUUCACCUCCACUGCAAUUCUGGUAUAGCGAAUUGCUUGGAGGACUUCUAGCAGGGUGGGUUCUGCUAGUUCCGGAGACUGUGAGCUUGCUGCGUGUGGUAGAGGUGGUGUCACUGAUCUAGCCGCACAUAUUUAUCCAGUUUACAGCAAUUUUGUACGCUUUGCAUCUGAAAUUACCCCCACACCGGAAACUGUACCUGGUCUGACACCUCAAGCCAUUUUCCCAUGUCAUUUUGGGCCACAUAAUUCCCUCCAGCACCUCCAGCCUGCCUAUAUCUAGUUCUGGCAUUGCUGAUGGCUUGUUUUUGCCUGUAGCCGUCCAUUCCACAUGGAAGCAAAGACGUGUCAUUUAUUUCUGUAAUGCCAAUGCCACACAAUGAAAAAGUUCCAGGAGUGAAGUGAAAGUAACACUUGAGUGCAGCCAGUCCUGUACAAGAAGUGGAAAUCCUGGACAAUUACAUACCUGAACUGGAAAAGUCCAGUGUCUCCCGGGACAUGUAUGAAUGUGAAUGUUUAACUGCAAUAAAAAUGAAACUGUCAAAGCCAGGGAUCCCGUGCGGUGGCGACAUUGAUGGCAGACGCAGGUGGAUGAGUUGUUGAGACGUGCAGCUUGCCAUAGAGGGUAUGAUGUCAAUUGGCCCAGGUUGUUGCUAUGUCCAGGCAGUAUUGUUGUUUUCCCAUAUUAGAACCAUUGCCUUACUCCUGCCAACUCCAGCUGGGAUCCACGUUGGAGAAAUCUGCCAAGUUGGUUUCCUCGUUGCGAAUUUGAGAGGAGAAUGACUGCGGGAUCUCAGUGAAGUCAUCUGCUGAUGGCUAUAUGAAAGGAAACAAGGUGCUUCUUACAUACUUCAUUUCACUCAAGAUAAGUUGUAACUUAAUAUGUGGCUUGAAUUAUCUGUAAAAAGUGAUUACUGGAUUCAGAUAUUAAUACCCAGAAAAUAGAAGCAGGGUAAAUUAAAAUCAGACUAUCAGUAUCCACCAAAACUCAACGACUUUAUUUUGGAAAUAAAAUUACAAAAAGUUUCUGAAGGCCAAUGAAUGAGCUAUUUAAAAAGGUAACUGUCAAUAAAUAAAUAAGGGACCCAUUAACCUCACUAUGGACACAUGAUUAUCUGUCCUUGUUACAGUGAUUAACCAAAGUGGAGACCAAGCUGAAGUCCAGGUUGGGUGAAAUCUGAAGAUUUCCUUUGCGCAGAAUCAUUUGCAUUAAAGAUUUCCCGCUGGCAUACUCCAGGACGAAGAAGGCUUCCAGCUGUUAAAGAGAGAAUAGAAGAAGUAUCUCCAGGAGCAGCUGCUUGAAGCUCAGAAGAAAGAGCAUGUUCUACAGAAUCAGCUGUCGCAGCUCACAGAAGAGAACCAGAAACUUCUUGGGCAGUUGGCUGAGCGCAAGUCAAAGGAAGGUACAUAAGUACAGGAGAUGGUGAAACAUAAUUGAGAUGGGCUUGUGCUGUUCCCUCAGAUUGUGCUGCGAGAGAGGAGCGAGACCUGAUGUUUCAGCUGAAGUAGACUUCUGUGCCUCCGACACCAUUCCUACCUCUGGGACGUGGCAUCCAGAAAAGGAUGAUACAUUUGCUUGUGGUGAUAAAACUGGGAAUGUAUCCUUGGUAAAUCUGAAGAAUCCAAACUCUGCUCAAACUUCAGCUGUGCACUCCCAAAGCAUCACAGGGCUGGCAUACUCAUUUCACAUGUACCAUCUUUAUUUUGCUUUUUUUUCUGUCUGUGUUGUCAUUCUUUAAGUUGGAAUACAGGAUGAAAUGCACAGGGUCCAGCGUGAUAUGUAGGGGUACAAAGGGGUGCAGUGUGAUAUGCACAGGGGUGUGGGGUCAGUGUGACAUGUAUAGGGGUCCUGGGGAAUUCACAGUGUGAUGUACAGGGGUGCUUGUGAAUUCACAGUGUGACAUUUACAAGGAAGUAAACAAAAUAGGAGUGAGCUUAGCUAAGGACCAACUAGCAACCAGUUCUCUUCAUAUUAGGGAAAGGUAAAUAGAAAUAAUUGGUCCUCUAUAAAUGAUUUUAUUCACAAUAACGUUUUAAAAUAUGUUACCUUUUAUACUUU